GUUUAGAGCAAUGGAAAAAUGUGGCACCCUAACUUUUUCAGAACCAGAACCCUGUUGGUUUUUAUCCAUAUCAUCUUCUAGAAUUGAACAUUCUACAGGCAGAAAAUUGACACCACCUGGUUCUUGUGAUAUCCCAGAUCUUGGAAGAGUCAUCUCAUCCACCUGAACACCUGCCAAUUCUUCAAUAGCAUCCACAGGAACUUGCCCCGCCACUUUUGAAGAUAUCAAAUCUCUAAUCUGGAGCCCAUGUGCAGGCAGGUUAUUCACAGCUGAACUAAAGUCGAUGGGUUUCACUUCUUUUCGUACAUUUCUGGAGCCAGAAAAAGAUUUCUUGAUGUCGUCUAACAGCAAAUCACCCUCACCACUAGAGAUAGGAUCCCAUUUGUUGAGCCAAUCAUCAAAUUCAGGUUCCUUGAUGCCCGAUGUUAUUGGUUCAACCUUAAUUGCCUCCUUGUGGUAAGAUUUUUUCCUU
rnacentral:misc_RNA from 1 species